rnacentral:tRNA from 1 species
CUGUUUGUAGCUCAGUGGUAGAGCACUUGCCUAGCAUAUGCAAGGCACUGGGUUCAAAUCUCAGCACUGCAUA